rnacentral:rRNA from 1 species
UACGAAGGGGGCUAGCGUUGCUCGGAAUCACUGGGCGUAAAGCGCACGUAGGCGGAUUGUUAAGUCAGGGGUGAAAUCCUGGAGCUCAACUCCAGAACUGCCUUUGAUACUGGCGAUCUCGAGUCCGGGAGAGGUGAGUGGAACUGCGAGUGUAGAGGUGAAAUUCGUAGAUAUUCGCAAGAACACCAGUGGCGAAGGCGGACUCACUGGCCCGGUACUGACGCUGAGGCGCGAAAGCUAGGGGAGCAAACAGGG